rnacentral:rRNA from 1 species
UGGGGCUCACCUCUUCCCAUACCGAACAGAGAAGUUAAGCCCAAUAGCGCCGAUGGUACUGCAGCAAUGUGGGAGAGUAGGUCGCUGCCUUUC